CCCCCCCCAGAAAGCGUGCCCGCAGGCAACGACCCGAAGGGCGAAGCGCGCAGCGCUGAGUCAUCCUUCCCCCACCACCA
rnacentral:sRNA from 1 species